AGGCAGUGAGCUGUCUUGGUCAGCACCCAGGUGUAUCCAUCAACACGGGCACGUUAUAUCAAAAUGCAAAUAUGCAUUCCAGGAUGGUGACUGAAGCUCAUCUUUGUAAACACCUAAAUCCCUAGAAUGGACUUCAAAACAGAUUCUGAAAGUUUAACCAGUAUAAUUUUGAAUAUGAUCUGUACCUGUAUUGCCAAAGUUUGGGGCAACAUGAAAAUCUU